AUGAUGAAAAUUAUUAUUAGUAAUUAUUUAUUAAUUUUUAAAUAACUUCUUUUAAGUCAUUAAAAAAAAUAAUUUGAAAUAGACUUGAGUUUUUAUUUUAUAAAGAAAAAAUAAUAUUUAUUAUAGUUAAUUUGUAUUGAAAAAGAUCAUUGAAAUAUUUUGAAAAAUUAUUAAAUUUAAAGAAAAUUUAAUUUAUUGUACCUUGUGUAUCAGGGUUUAUUAAAUAAUUAAUAUUAUAUUUUAUUUUUCUCGAAUUAAAGAGAUCUAAAAAUUUAUUUAAUUUAAUGUUGCAUAAUUAUUUAUAAUUUAUUUUUAGAAAUGAAACGUUAUUCGUUCUUUAUGAUAUCUAGUUUUUUAAGAAAUAAAUUUAAUUUAAAAAUUUUAUAAUAAUUUAUUUGUUAAAAAUAUUUUAUUUAUAUAAAUUUUAAUAUUUUAAGGGAUAAUCUUUAAAAUAUAUUUUUAUAAUCUUUUAAAUAAUUUAUAAAAUAUUAUAGGAUUAAUAGUAUUCAAUAAUAAAAAUUAUGUUAUAAUAUAUUUUUAUAAUAAAAAAUUUAUUUUAAUUUAAUUUUUUUAUUAAAAAUUUAAUUAAAAAUUAAGUAUUUUAAGAUAUAAUGAUAAAAUUAGUAUAUUCUAUAAUUAAAUUAAUAUUAAUUUUAAUGUUAGGUUUUUAUAAGUAACUCGGCAAAUUUUUUACUUGCCUGUUUAUCAAAAACAUGUCUUUUUGAAUUUUAUUUAAAGUCUAACCUGCCCACUGAUUUAUUAUUAAAGGGCCGCGGUAUUUUGACCGUGCAAAGGUAGCAUAAUCAUUAGUCUUUUAAUUGAAGGCUCGUAUGAAUGGUUGGACAUAGUAUUAGCUGUCUCUUAAAAAUUUAGUAUAAAAUUUAACUUUUUAAUUAAAAGGUUAAAAUAUUUUUAAAAGACGAGAAGACCCCAUAGAGCUUUAUAUUGAGUAGAUUUAAUUUAUUCAGAAUUAAUUAAAGUAAAAUUUAUUUUUAAUAUUUUGUUGGGGUGACAAUAAAAUUUAUAAAACUUUUAUUAUUUUUAAUACAUUAAUAUAUGAUUAAUUGAUCCAAUUUUAUUGAUUAAAAUUUUAAGUUACCUUGGGGAUAACAGCGUAAUUUUUUUUAAGAGUUCUUAUCGACAAAAAAGAUUGCGACCUCGAUGUUGGAUUAAGAGUUAUUUUUGGGUGUAGAAGUUCAAAGUUUAGGUCUGUUCGACCUUUAAAUUCUUACAUGAUCUGAGUUCAAACCGGUGUAAGCCAGGUUGGUUUCUAUCUUUAAAAAUUGAAAUAUCUUAGUACGAAAGGACCAGAUCUUAAAUAUAUUAAAUAUUUUAUAAUUUGAAUGUUAUUAAUGAUUAUUACUGAUAAAAUAA
rnacentral:rRNA from 1 species